GACGAACCGUGCGAACGUUAUUCGGAAUCACUGGGCUUAAAGGGCGCGUAGGCGGGCUGACAAGUCUGGGGUGAAAUACCACGGCUCAACCGUGGAACUGCCUUAGAUACUGUCGGCCUCGAGGGAGGUAGGGGCGUGCGGAACUGUAGGUGGAGCGGUGAAAUGCGUUGAUAUCUACAGGAACUCCGGUGGCGAAAGCGGCGCGCUGGACCUCUUCUGACGCUGAGGCGCGAAAGCUAGGGGAGCAAACGGG
rnacentral:rRNA from 1 species